UCUAUAAUAGCUUAAUCAAAGCCUUUAACCGUUAAUUAAAAAAAUACUAAAAUACUUAGUUUAUAGAG
rnacentral:tRNA from 1 species